AUGUGUAACUGUGACUUACUAAUAAUCUGAUUCCAGAUAAAAACCACUGAUUGGUAUGGCAUGUCUCCAUUUUACAUUUUGCAAGCAAAGAGUAUUAUAACUGAUUGAAACCAACAGGGUUUUAGUUGACAAUGAGUGAAACUAGACAAUUCAAAGUAUGGGAUCAUGAAAGAAAAG
rnacentral:sRNA from 1 species